rnacentral:rRNA from 1 species
UACGGGGGGAGCAAGCGUUGUUCGGAUUUACUGGGCGUAAAGGGCGCGUAGGCGGUCAGCACAAGUCAGUUGUGAAAUCUCCGGGCUUAACUCGGAAAGGUCAACCGAUACUGUGCGACUAGAGUGCAGAAGGGGCAACUGGAAUUCUCGGUGUAGCGGUGAAAUGCGUAGAUAUCGAGAGGAACACCUGCGGCGAAGGCGGGUUGCUGGGCUGACACUGACGCUGAUGCGCGAAAGCCAGGGGAGCGAACGGG